rnacentral:lncRNA from 1 species
GGAAUAGUUUCUGAGAUGACGCAUGUCACUUUGUUUGAGCCUGAGCUUGGCUCACUUUUGUAGACUUUAUAUUUCGCACCAUAUUUGUGCUCCAAUAGAAUGCAAGAUAGACGGUUUUGAACAAAGCUGUUUUGGCGGUGCACUGUGGCAGGCACAUUUGGGGAAUCUGCCAAGUGGCAACUUCCAGUUGUUUUUUGAGACAUUUGACCCUAAAGAAAGGACUGGGAUUCGUCUUGGUCCUGGACACAGAUUUUGUUGGGUAUUUUGACCUGUUCUGCUGGCUCCUGAAUUGUCGUUUGUUCCCUUAAACUGUGUUUUUCUGAUUCGGGGCGGGGGGUUGUAUAA